rnacentral:rRNA from 1 species
UACCAUGCAAGUCGAACGGUGAAGCCCAGCUUGCUGGGUGGAUCAGUGGCGAACGGGUGAGUAACACGUGAGCAACCUGCCCCUGACUCUGGGAUAAGCGCUGGAAACGGCGUCUAAUACUGGAUAUGUACCACGAUCGCAUGGUCUGUGGUUGGAAAGAUUUUUCGGUUGGGGAUGGGCUCGCGGCCUAUCAGCUUGUUGGUGAGGUAAUGGCUCACCAAGGCGUCGACGGGUAGCCGGCCUGAGAGGGUGACCGGCCACACUGGGACUGAGACACGGCCCAGACUCCUACGGGAGGCAGCAGUGGGGAAUAUUGCACAAUGGGCGCAAGCCUGAUGCAGCAACGCCGCGUGAGGGAUGACGGCCUUCGGGUUGUAAACCUCUUUUAGCAGGGAAGAAGCGAAAGUGACGGUACCUGCAGAAAAAGCGCCGGCUAACUACGUGCCAGCAGCCGCGGUAAUACGUAGGGCGCAAGCGUUAUCCGGAAUUAUUGGGCGUAAAGAGCUCGUAGGCGGUUUGUCGCGUCUGCUGUGAAAUCCGGAGGCUCAACCUCCGGCCUGCAGUGGGUACGGGCAGACUAGAGUGCGGUAGGGGAGAUUGGAAUUCCUGGUGUAGCGGUGGAAUGCGCAGAUAUCAGGAGGAACACCGAUGGCGAAGGCAGAUCUCUGGGCCGUAACUGACGCUGAGGAGCGAAAGGGUGGGGAGCAAACAGGCUUAGAUACC